rnacentral:rRNA from 1 species
AUACGAAGGGAGCUAGCGUUGUUCGGAAUUACUGGGCGUAAAGCGCACGUAGGCGGACUUGUUAGUCAGGGGUGAAAUCCCGGGGCCCAACCUCGGAACUGCCUUUGAUACUGCAAGUCUGGAGUCCGGAAGAGGUGGGUGGAAUUCCUAGUGUAGAGGUGAAAUUCGUAGAUAUUAGGAAGAACACCGGUGGCGAAGGCGGCCCACUGGUCCGGUACUGACGCUUAGGUGCGAAAGCGUGGGGAGCAAACAGGAUUAGAAACCCCAGUAGUCC